rnacentral:rRNA from 1 species
UACGAAGGGGGCUAGCGUUGCUCGGAAUUACUGGGCGUAAAGGGCGCGUAGGCGGCUUGGUCAGUCAGGCGUGAAAUUCCUGAGCUUAACUUGGGGACUGCGCUUGAUACGGCUGGGCUUGAGGCCGAGAGAGGGUGGUGGAAUUCCCAGUGUAGAGGUGAAAUUCGUAGAUAUUGGGAAGAACACCGGUGGCGAAGGCGACCACCUGGCUCGGUACUGACGCUGAGGCGCGACAGCGUGGGGAGCAAACAGG